UGUGUUUAAGGGUGGUGGGGCCCUUUGUAGACAGCAUUUUUUGAGUUGCUAAUCUCAAUUAUUUAAAGUUGUUUUAUUUAUAAGGGUCGUUGGUCUUAGUUUAGCGUUCUCUAUGUUCCAAUUGUUUUAAUAUUAAACCUUGAGAACAUAUUCUAAGUUUUCAUAUACAUUUUUACGAUGCCAAAACACUCCAAAGCUAUAACUUAGCUCACCAUAAGGAUACAGACUUGGAUGGGAAGUGCCAACUAUAGGAU
rnacentral:lncRNA from 1 species